UUAUGGCCAUAUCACAUUGAAAACCUAGUACCCGUAAGAUCAUAGAAGUUAAGCAACGUUAAUCCCGGUCAGUGCCUAGAUGGGUGGCCGCUUGGGAAUUCCAGGUGCUGUAUG